AUGAACGCUGGCGGCGUGGAUAAGGCAUGCAAGUCGAACGCAUCGCAAGAUGAGUGGCGAACGAGGUAGUAAUACGUAGGAACUUCCCCUUGAGUCAAGAAUAACUAGUCGAAAGAUUAGCUAAUACUUGAUAGUCUCUUCGGAGUAAAGAUUUAUCGCUUAAGGAAAGGCCUGCGGGAUAUCAGCUAGUUGGUAGUGUAAAGGACUACCAAGGCUAUGACGUCUAGGGGAGCUGAGAGGCUGACCCCCACCGAUGGUACUGAGACACGGACCAUACACCUACGGGUGGCUGCAGUCGAGAAUCUUCCGCAAUGGGCGCAAGCCUGACGGAGCGACGCCGCGUGAUUGAUGAAGUCCCUCUGGGACGUAAAGAUCUUUUAUCGGGGAGAAAGUUUAUUGAUAGUACCUGAUGAAUAAGGGGUUGCUAAACUCGU
rnacentral:rRNA from 1 species